rnacentral:rRNA from 1 species
GACAGAGGUGCCGAGCGUUAGGCGGAAUCACUGGGCUUAAAGCGUGUGUAGGCGGGCCGUUAAGUGCCUUGUGAAAUCCCCCGGCUCAACCGUGGAACUGCUCGGUAUACUGCGGGUCUGAGCCAACUAGGGGCGACCGGAACAAACGGUGGAGCGGUGAAAUGCGUAGAUAUCGUUUGGAACGCCGAUGGUGAAAACAGGUCGCUGGGGUUGUGGCUGGACGCUGAGACACGAAAGCCAGGGGAGCGAACGGGAUUAGAAACCCCGGGGGUA